GAUGAACGCUGGCGGCGUGCCUAAUACAUGCAAGUCGAGCGAACAGACGAGGAGCUUGCUCCUCUGACGUUAGCGGCGGACGGGUGAGUAACACGUGGAUAACCUACCUAUAAGACUGGGAUAACUUCGGGAAACCGGAGCUAAUACCGGAUAAUAUAUUGAACCGCAUAGUUCAAUAGUGAAAGACGGUUUUGCUGUCACUUAUAGAUGGAUCCGCGCCGCAUUAGCUAGUUGGUAAGGUAACGGCUUACCAAGGCGACGAUGCGUAGCCGACCUGAGAGGGUGAUCGGCCACACUGGAACUGAGACACGGUCCAGACUCCUACGGGGGGCAGCAGUAGGGAAUCUUCCGCAAUGGGCGAAAGCCUGACGGAGCAACGCCGCGUGAGUGAUGAAGGUCUUCGGAUCGUAAAACUCUGUUAUUAGGGAAGAACAAAUGUGUAAGUAACUAUGCACGUCUUGACGGUACCUAAUCAGAAAGCCACGGCUAACUACGUG
rnacentral:rRNA from 1 species